rnacentral:rRNA from 1 species
UACGUAGGGUGCAAGCGUUGUCCGGAAUUAUUGGGCGUAAAGAGCUCGUAGGCGGUCUGUCGCGUCGGAUGUGAAAACCCUGGGCUCAACCCUGGGCCUGCAUUCGAUACGGGCAGACUAGAGUUCGGUAGGGGAGACUGGAAUUCCUGGUGUAGCGGUGAAAUGCGCAGAUAUCAGGAGGAACACCGGUGGCGAAGGCGGGUCUCUGGGCCGAAACUGACGCUGAGGAGCGAAAGCGUGGGGAGCAAACAGG